UUGUAUGAUUGGAUGUGUAGUCCCAUGUGUUGUUUGUGAUUAAAGCUAGGAUGCUAGAAAGAAGUGAAUGCUAAGAUGAUAGAUGACUACUGAUUGUUAUUGUUACUGUAAGUGAAACCUGAGUGUGAUGUGUAUUGUGUGUGACACCGAUAACGGGUGGCGUCUAGUGAAUGAGUUCAAGUACGAUUCUAAGUGUAAAGGAAAGUGAAUGAGAAUGAGAAUGGAUAAGUGAAAGUGAAUAAGGAUGUGAAAGGAUAAGUGAAUGUAUAAGUGAAUAACGUUAAGGUUAAUCAUGGGUUGGGAAAUCAUAUAGAGUCUAGAGGGAGUACGUGGGGUAGUAGUUCUAUGCUAGGCAUCCAUAGGAGCUAUGGUGGAAUCCACAAGAAUAUGGAGGCACCCAUAGGAGCUGUGGUGGAAUCCACAAGAAUAUGGGGUAGAAGUCUAGCGAGAGCUACCCACGGAGAAAAGAGAAAAGAUGAGCCAGCCGCGAGAGGCGUGAUAUAAAAACGUGCAUUGUAGAGUAUUUAGUUCAUGGUCGGGUAUCUGGGUGUUAAAGGUGUCAUAAGAUUGAGUCGGUAUUGUAUGUCGAGUC
rnacentral:lncRNA from 1 species